UAGGGAAUCUUCCACAAUGGACGCAAGUCUGAUGGAGCAACGCCGCGUGAGUGAAGAAGGUUUUCGGAUCGUAAAGCUCUGUUGUUGGUGAAGAAGGAUAGAGGCAGUAACUGGUCUUUAUUUGACGGUAAUCAACCAGAAAGUCACGGCUAACUACGUGCCAGCAGCCGCGGUAAUACGUAGGUGGCAAGCGUUGUCCGGAUUUAUUGGGCGUAAAGCGAGCGCAGGCGGAAUGAUAAGUCUGAUGUGAAAGCCCACGGCUCAACCGUGGAACUGCAUCGGAAACUGUCAUUCUUGAGUGCAGAAGAGGAGAGUGGAAUUCCAUGUGUAGCGGUGGAAUGCGUAGAUUUAUGGAAGAACACCAGUGGCGAAGGCGGCUCUCUGGUCUGCAACUGACGCUGAGGCUCGAAAGCAUGGGUAGCGAACAGG
rnacentral:rRNA from 1 species